rnacentral:rRNA from 1 species
GACGAACGCUGGCGGCGUGCUUAACACAUGCAAGUCGAACGGAAAGGCCCUGCUUGCAGGGUGCUCGAGUGGCGAACGGGUGAGUAACACGUGGGUGAUCUGCCCCUUACUUUGGGAUAAGCCUGGGAAACUGGGUCUAAUACUGGAUAGGACCAUGCUGUAGGUGGUGUGGUGGAAAGAUUAGUUUCGGUAAGGGAUGAGCUCGCGGCCUAUCAGCUUGUUGGUGGGGUAAUGGCCUACCAAGGCGUCGACGGGUAGCCGGCCUGAGAGGGUGGACGGCCCCAUUGGGACUGAGAUACGGCCCAGACUCCUACGGGAGGCAGCAGUGGGGAAUAUUGCACAAUGGGCGCAAGCCUGAUGCAGCGACGCCGCGUGGGGGAUGACGGCCUUCGGGUUGUAAACUCCUUUCAGCCAUGACGAAGCCCUUGUGGUGACGGUAGUGGUAGAAGAAGCACCGGCUAACUACGUG